UUAGAUAAUAAGAAGAAACAUCUGAGAAGAAGUUGAUACCACAAACAGCAGAUGUAAAUGAAUGUCUCCAGUAUGAAGAGAGAGAGAGGCUGCUCAUCCUCAGUCGGCAUAAGAAGAGCGUUCCAGAGGCUGUUGGGUUUAAUGACUGUGACGUUCACGUGGCACGGCGCGUCCUGCCGAAGGAGAAAGAAGAAUGUUUGAUGACCUGUUACGUUUUUAUUUCUUCCAUAAAUUACUCCAUUAGGAUCUCUAUAAAGCGCUACAGAAGGCGGCGAGCGGAGAGAUGAGAGAACAGCUGUUUGUCUAGAUUGAGCUUGUCUGUCGAUGUCAUGAGGGAUGGAGAACUGGCACGUUAGAUUUGCUCUGCGUCUGCUUGUAGGACUUUAUUUCCUCUGGAGAACAGAACACAGAAGAAGAUAUUUUGAAGAACGUUGGUAACCAAACAACACCGGACCUCAUUGACUUCCAUUGUAUGGACAUAAAACCACAAAGAUGUUUCUUAAAAUUGUGAUCCACAGUAGAAAGACUCAUUAAGAUGUAUUGAAUGACAUGAGGGUGUGUAAACGAUGACAGAUUUUUGGGGUGAACUGUCCCUUUAAGGCCGGUUCUUAUACAAUACAGUAGUUGUAGUGGCCUUGACUGUUCUCAUACAUUUACGAUUUAAACUCCACAACUUUUUAAAAUAUAACCCUUCCAGCAUUAUCAUGAUAGUUUUAAUUCUUAAAAAAGUCAUUUUUUUCCUCUUCAAAAAUAAUAACCGCACACAUG